rnacentral:lncRNA from 1 species
AAGAAGUCAGGCCGGAUUAAGCCAUAGUACGGUAAGAGCUAUGCUGCCUGUGAGCCCCGUCUAAGGACGUAAAAUGAAGUCAGGCCGAAAGCCACGGCUUGAGCAAACCGUGCUGCCUGUAGCUCCAUCGUGGGGAUGUAAAAACCUGGGAGGCUGCAACCCAUGGAAGCUGUACGCAUGGGGUAGCAGACUAGUGGUUAGAGGAGACCCCUCCCGAAACAUAACGCAGCAGCGGGGCCCAACACCAGGGGAAGCUGUACCCUGGUGGUAAGGACUAGAGGUUAGAGGAGACCCCCCGCAUAACAAUAAACAGCAUAAUGA